UGGAUCCAGACUUUGAUCAUGGCUCAGGACGAACGCUGGCGGCGUGCUUAACACAUGCAAGUCGAACGGAGAACUUAUUUCGGUAAGUUCUUAGUGGCGAACGGGUGAGUAACGCGUGGGCAACCUGCCCUCCAGUUGGGGACAACAUUCCGAAAGGGAUGCUAAUACCGGAUGUGCUCCCUCCUCCGCAUGGAGGAGGGAGGAAAGAUGGCCUCUGCUUGCAAGCUAUCGCUGGAAGAUGGGCCCGCGUCUGAUUAGCUAGUUGGUGGGGUAACGGCUCACCAAGGCGAUGAUCAGUAGCCGGUCUGAGAGGAUGAACGGCCACAUUGGGACUGAGACACGGCCCAAACUCCUACGGGAGGCAGCAGUGGGGAAUCUUCCGCAAUGGACGAAAGUCUGACGGAGCAACGCCGCGUGAGUGAUGAAGGUCUUCGGAUUGUAAAACUCUGUCGUUAGGGACGAAAGCACCGUGUUCGAACAGGUCAUGGUGUUGACGGUACCUAACGAGGAAGCCACGGCUAACUACGUGCCAGCAGCCGCGGUAAUACGUAGGUGGCAAGCGUUGUCCGGAAUUAUUGGGCGUAAAGAGCAUGUAGGCGGGCUUUUAAGUCUGACGUGAAAAUGCGGGGCUUAACCCCGUAUGGCGUUGGAUACUGGAAGUCUUGAGUGCAGGAGAGGAAAGGGGAAUUCCCAGUGUAGCGGUGAAAUGCGUAGAUAUUGGGAGGAACACCAGUGGCGAAGGCGCCUUUCUGGGCUGUGUCUGACGCUGAGAUGCGAAAGCCAGGGUAGCAAACGGGAUUAGAUACCCCGGUAGUCCUGGCCGUAAACGAUGGAUACUAGGUGUAGGAGGUAUCGACCCCUUCUGUGCCGGAGUUAACGCAAUAAGUAUCCCGCCUGGGGACUACGAUCGCAAGAUUGCAACUCAAAUGAAUUGACGGA
rnacentral:rRNA from 1 species